UGGGGGAUAUUGCACAAUGGGCGAAAGCCUGAUGCAGCGACGCCGCGUGGGGGAUGAAGGCUUUCGGGUUGUAAACCUCUUUCGCUAUCGAACAAGGCCCGCUUAGGGUGGGUUGAGGGUAGGUGGAGAAGAAGCACCGGCUAACUACGUGCCAGCAGCCGCGGUAAUACGUAGGGCGCGAGCGUUGUCCGGAAUUAUUGGGCGUAAAGGGCUUGUAGGCGGCUUGUUGCGCCUGCUGUGAAAACGCGGGGCUUAACUUCGCGCGUGCAGGGGGUACGGGCAGGCUUGAGGGUGGUAGGGGUGACUGGAAUUCCAGGUGUAGCGGUGGAAUGCGCAGAUAUCUGGAGGAACACCGAUGGCGAAGGCAGGUCACUGGGCCAUUACUGACGCUGAGGAGCGAAAGCAUGGGUAGCGAACAGG
rnacentral:rRNA from 1 species